rnacentral:rRNA from 1 species
CCUACGGGAGGCAGCAGUGGGGAAUAUUGCACAAUGGGGGAAACCCUGAUGCAGCGACGCCGCGUGAGUGAAGAAGUAUCUCGGUACGUAAAGCUCUAUCAGCAGGGAAGAAAAUGACGGUACCUGACUAAGAAGCCCCGGCUAACUACGUGCCAGCAGCCGCGGUAAUACGUAGGGGGCAAGCGUUAUCCGGAUUUACUGGGUGUAAAGGGAGCGUAGACGGCAGCACAAGUCUGGAGUGAAAUCCCGGGGCUUAACCCCGGAACUGCUUUGGAAACUGUGCGGCUGGAGUGCAGGAGGGGUAAGCGGAAUUCCUAGUGUAGCGGUGAAAUGCGUAGAUAUUAGGAGGAACACCGGUGGCGAAGGCGGCUUACUGGAACAUUACUGACACUGAAACACGAAAGCGUGGGGAGCAAACAGGAUUAGAUACCCGUGUAGUC